rnacentral:misc_RNA from 1 species
UGUUUUCGGGUGCGCUUUAUGCGUUCUCACGUCUUCACAUGGGCUAGCUGCACAGCCUCUUAUCGCUGAAUUACUAGUGCUGCAACGAUGAGACUCACCGAUGCGCCGUGGUUUGCCAUCCCACUUGCCACCGUCACGGCUGUGAGAGUGGUGACGGCGAUCGUGAACCUCAGCAACCGUCGCGAACUGCGCCUGCGGGCCGGCUCGAGAGCUGCACGUGAUGCCGAGUCUCUUAUUGACGCGGUUGGACGCCUCGCCGACAACGCCGGCGACGGCGUCUACCCUUCCACCGAGAAUGCGUCGACGACGGUCAUUGACCUGAACACAACACACCGCCGCAUCGAGGUGUCCCAGGCACGGCUGUGCAGCUUCAGCUGCGGUUUACUUCCCCUCUUUGACUGCUACGCUGUGGCGUGCCGCUGCGGUACGGUUCCAGAUGCGGUGAAAGCGGAUGUGUGGAACUGCCUCUGCGCCGUUGUGGAGGCGCACUUACAGGCGUACGUCAGCGCCAGUGCUCUAGCAGCAAACGUCUCUGAGGCUGCAACCGCUCUGGCGAUGUGCAAGAUGCUUCUUGGACGGCGCUACCAUGUGGCGCGCUUCCUGGAGGCCCCGCUAGCCUCGUCUCGUCUGCUGCUCGGCACACCCCCGCGGCAUCUUCUGGCAGAAGCGGUGCGCAAAAAUCGUGACGAGAGCUGUACCAUGCGCUCUCUCGUCCUCUUCGCAGGUCUCCUCCUUAAUGCAUGCACUCCUCCUGCGAAGGCGCUUCUCGCCCUCCUUGCUGUCGUUAACGUCACGUACAUCUCGCGACUCAUGUGCACUACGUCGUCUGCGACGGUGCCAUCGGCGCUCCGCUACACCAUAGACGUCCUCAAUGAAGCCACAACGACCGGCGCAGCGCAGCUUUGCACGUGGAGGCGCUUUGUGGGGCAGGUGGCGACUUCCGCACCGGGCCGCAUGUUAGCCAGCGCCACCCUCGGUGCCGUCGUCUCGCAUCUCUUCAACUCGGCCAAAGAGGCCGCAUCAGACGCCGUGCUGCGCAGCUUCCACAUGACCCUCAAGACGGACACGCUGCUAGCGCUCACGCGCUUCGACUUUGUUGCGGACGCACACUGGCCCCUACCAGGCCGCGUCUACACGGCACUUGGCGUGGUCACCAACUUCUCCUUCGCGGACGUUGACCGCUUGCUAGACGUGGUGGCGGACCGAGUGCAGCGAUGGCGCACCGUGUGGCGGCUCCCGGUGGCAUGCAUGGUGGGGUGGCUAACGCGUCAAGGGCUGGACUGGCUGCAGCGGUGCUGGACGCGUGCCUGUCUGAUGACGUCGUUUGUGGCGUGCUACGGAGCCGCCGAACAGGGGUGUUACACGGCCCCACGCGAGCGGGUCGGCGGCGCUGAGUGUCGCUUAUCAUUGCCCCUGUGCGGUGCGCAUUACGGCCUCCAAGUCCUGCUACUUGCUGCUGUAUCUCCCUCUCGCACGGCAUCCGCAUCAUCUGCUGUGGUGCAGUGCUUGGCGGAGCACACUCGCUGGCCACUGUCGCCGCGCCCCUGCCUCAGGGCAACAAAGCAGGUGCUGCGCGCCGUCUCCACUGCCGACGGGGCUGUCGAAGUUCUCCGCGCUCGGUACGACGCCGUACGCGAGCUCUGUGCAUCCCCUGCGGAGGACGCCCAAGCGCCGGCCUCGUUUGCCGCGGCGUUGAGUCUGCGGCGUGCGAGCGGAGACGGCCUUUUUAUACCACCGACUCGGCCGUCAGCCUUGGCGAUGGACUUGGGGACCCUUUGCGGAGACGUUCUGGAAGACGUGAUGAACAAGGUGUUCUCAAGCAGCAAUGGCGUCCCGAUAAUGGCGGCUGUUGCCGCGAUUGAGGCUCACUCGCGUGCGCAGCACAGCACAACGUCACUGCCGUCAGAGGAUGCUGUAGCGGCCGUCUACGAUGUGGCCAGGGUGGUGGACAGUGGCGCCGUGUUCCUCGUGCCGCCAGCGCGACCGUGGACGCUGGUGUCGUCCUUCCAGUUCGACGUGCAAACGGCUCAGUUGCAUUAUGACGAGCACGAAGCGUACGCCCGGAGCGUGGCAACCCUUGUGCACGUGCAGCACACGCAUCGGCCCGAGCUCGACGGACAGCCGUGGGCGCACUACAACACACCUCCUUCCUUGCUGCGUCCCCGCAACGACACCAGCGCUGCCUGGCAUGUGACGUUCGAUCACGUCUCCUUCCGCUACCCUGGCACAGAGCAUGACGUGCUGCACGACAUCACCUUCGACGUUGCAGCCGGUGGCUUUCUCGGCAUCGUGGGCUACAGUGGAGCGGGGAAGAGUACGCUGCUGCUCCUCCUUUCACGCGUUUACGCGCCGACGCGAGGACAUAUCCGCAUAAACGGCCACCCGAUCGAGUGCAUCCCGCCGCGCGCGCUUCGCCGCCGACUGGGGAACUGCUGGCAAGGCGACAGGGACACCUGCUUCUUGGAAGGGAUAAGCGUGGAGCGCAACGUGGCGUACGGCAACCUCGCGGCAGCCUCUGGCGGCGCCAUCACCGCGGCCCUUCAACAGGCCUGCAUCGAUACAGCGGUCGAAGCACGCCCCAGCGGGUUGAGGGAGCCGCUGCGGUGUAGCGAAUGGAGUGGCGGCGAGGUGGCGCGACUCAUGCUGGCUCGUGCGUUUAUGGUGCCUGUAGACGACGCAGGAGUGUACAUGUUCGACGAAUGCACCAACGGCCUUGACUCGGUGACGGAGGCCAAGCUGUUUCCACGCGACCUCUGUCGACAGAGAAACGCCACACGCGUUAUGGUGUCACAUCGCCUAGCGUCGGUGCGUGCGGCGGACGAGAUUCUCGUUCUCGCGCAUGGGCGCAUUGUAGAGCGAGGCACCUGGACGCAGCUUCUCCGCGGUGGCGACGACUCUCUCUUCUGCACCCUCUACCGUGCACAGGCAGUGAGCUGACGGCGAGGCGUUGG